GUCAAGGCCCUGUUGAGAGCCAAGGAGGACCUUAGAGAAGGUGCACUAGCUUGCAAGGACAGCACUCAGAGAAGUCCCCUGGUGCUCUCCAGAAGCCCAGCUCCCUUCCUCAGGGGGGCAGUGAGGAUGAAGAGUUCUGGAGGUGGAUGGGGGUGACGGCUGCACAUCAGCAUGGACGGGCUUGAUGCCUCAGGAUGCACACACUUGAAAUGGACCUCAAGCUGCCCCUCCUUGGCUUCACUCCACGGUGUAGACCAUGUCUACACUCUCACUCAGCAAACACUUUGAUGACUAUUUCCAGACAGUUGGGUUUGGAUGUGCCCCAGAGACCUGAAAAUCUACAUUUGUGUUCUUUAAGGCCGUGAAAACACCCUGCGUGAGACUAUAGUGAGUGGAAUAGUGUCGUAAUUCGUCCAGACCCGUAGAAUGGACACCAUCAAGAGUGAACUCUAAUAUAACCUGUGGGCUUUGGGUGAUGAUGAUGGGCUUUGGGUGGUGAUGAUGACUCCAACAGUGUGGAGUCACUGUUGUUAUCAAAUACUCCAUUUCACUGGGGGAUGUUGAUAGUUGGGGAGGCCACAUAUGUCAGGGUUUGGGGAGAUCUGGGCAACCUCUGCACUUUCUGUUCAAUUUUGCUGUUCCUGAAAUGGCUCUAAAAACUAGUCUUAAUUUUAAAAAUGAAAUGUUUCAACUGUCCAAAAUGUGUAAUAACUACAUCUGUAUUCCCUCUACCCAGCUUUA